UCUCCUGGAAAACGGGUGGUAAUGCCGGAUGCUCCGGUUGGAUGCAUGUCCUUCCGGGAAAGGUUCCAUCGGUAUGGGAUGGGGUCGCGUCCUAUCAGCUUGAUGGCGGGGUAACGGCCCACCAUGGCUUCGACGGGUAGCCGGCCUGAGAGGGCGACCGGCCACAUUGGGACUGAGAUACGGCCCAGACUCCUACGGGAGGCAGCAGUGGGGAAUAUUGCACAAUGGGCGCAAGCCUGAUGCAGCGACGCCGCGUGCGGGAUGGAGGCCUUCGGGUUGUAAACCGCUUUUGAUCGGGAGCAAGCCCUUCGGGGUGAGUGUACCUUUCGAAUAAGCACCGGCUAACUACGUGCCAGCAGCCGCGGUAAUACGUAGGGUGCAAGCGUUAUCCGGAAUUAUUGGGCGUAAAGGGCUCGUAGGCGGUUCGUCGCGUCCGGUGUGAAAGCCCAUCGCUUAACGGUGGGUCUGCGCCGGGUACGGGCGGGCUGGAGUGCGGUAGGGAGAAACUGGAAUUCCCGGUGUAACGGUGGAAUGUGUA
rnacentral:rRNA from 1 species